UACGUAGGUGGCAAGCGUUGUCCGGAUUUACUGGGCUAAAGAGCGCGCAGGCGGUCGAUCAAGUCGCGUGUGAAAGCCCCCGGCUCAACUGGGGAGGGUCACGCGAUACUGAUCGACUCGAAAGGCAGGAGAGGGUAGUGGAAUUCCCGGUGUAGUGGUGAAAUGCGUAGAUAUCGGGAGGAACACCAGUGGCGAAGGCGGCGAUCUGGGAAGAUACUGACGCUGAGGUGCGAAAGCGUAGGGAGCAAACAGG
rnacentral:rRNA from 1 species